ensembl:lncRNA
AAAAGAGGGGACAUUAUGAAAGGAGAGAGGUAAAACAGAGUAUGGAGAAGAGAGGGGACAUUAUGAAAGGAGAGAGGUAAAGAGAGUAUAGAGAAAAGAGGGGACAUUAUGAAAGGAGAGAGGUAAAAGAGGAUAUGGAGAAAAGAGGGGACAUUAUGAAAGGAGAGAGGUAAAAGAGGAUAUGGAGAAAAGAGGGGACAUGAAAGGAGAGAGGUAAAGAGAGUAUGGAGAAGAGAGGGGACAUUAUGAAAGGAGAGAGGUAAAGAGAGUAUAGAGAAAAGAGGGGACAUUUUGAAAGGAGAGCGGUAAAGAGAGUAUGGAGAAAAGAGGGGACAUUAUGAAAGGAGAGAGGUAAAAGAGAGUAUGGAGAAAGGAGGGGACAUUAUGAAAGGAGAGAGGUAAAAGAGAGUAUGGAGAAAAGAGGGGACAUUAUGAAAGGAGAGAGGUAAAACAGAGUAUGGAGAAAAGAGGGGACAUUAUGAAAGGAGAGAGGUAAAACAGAGUAUGGAGAAAAGAGGGGACAUUAUGAAAGGAGAGAGGUAAAACAGAG